rnacentral:rRNA from 1 species
GACGAACGCUGGCGGCGUGCUUAACACAUGCAAGUCGAACGGAAAGGCCCUGCUUUUGUGGGGUGCUCGAGUGGCGAACGGGUGAGUAACACGUGUGUAACCUGCCCUUGUCUUUGGGAUAACUUCAGGAAACUGGGGCUAUUACCGGAUAGGAGCUCCUGCUGCAUGGUGGGGGUUGGAAAGUUUCGGCGGUUGGGGAUGGACUCGCGGCUUAUCCGCUUGUUGGUGGGGUAGUGGCUUACCAAGGUUUUGACGGGUAGCCGGCCUGGGAGGGUGACCGGCCACAUUGGGACUGAGAUACGGCCCAGACGCCUACGGGAGGCAGCAGGGGGGAAUAUUGCAGAAUGGGGGGAAGCCUGAGGCAGAAACGCCGCGUGCGUGAUGACGUCCUACGAGUGGAAAACCGCUUUCGCCUGUGACGAAGCGUGAGUGACGGUAAUGGGUAAAGAAGCACCGGCUAACUACGUG